UGAUCUCUGACCGCGUGCCUGUUGAAGAAUGAGCCGGCGACUCAUAGGCAGUGGCUUGGUUAAGGGAACGGAACCCACCGGAGCCGUAGCGAAAGCGAGUCUUAAUAGGGCGAUUGUCACUGCUUAUGGACCCGAACCUGGGUGAUCUAUCGAUGACCAGGAUGAAGCUUGGAUGAAACUAAGCAGAGGUCCGAACCGACUGAUGUUGAAGAAUCAGCGGAUGAGUUGUGGUUAGGGG
rnacentral:ncRNA from 1 species